rnacentral:rRNA from 1 species
UGCAAGUCGAACGGUCUUUCUAUGGAAGCUUGCUUCCACUGAGAAGAUAGUGGCGAACGGGUGAGUAACGACUGGGUAACCUGCCCAUAAGAGGGGGAUAACAUCCGGAAACGGUGCUAAUACCGCAUAGUUUCUUGAUCGCAUGAUUGAGAAAGGAAAGACGGUCUUUGUGCUGUCGCUUAUGGAUGGACCCGCGGCGUAUUAGUUAGUUGGUGAGGUAACGGCUCACCAAGACGAUGAUACGUAGCCGACCUGAGAGGUGAUCGGCCACAUUGGGACUGAGACACGGCCCAAACUCCUACGGGAGGCAGCAGUAGGGAAUCUUCCGCAAUGGACGAAAGUCUGACGGAGCAACGCCGCGUGAGUGAAAGAAGGUUUUCGGAUCGUAAAACUCUGUUGUCAGAGAAGAACAAGUUGGAGAGUAACUGCUCCAGCCUUGACGGUAUCUGACCAGAAAGCCACGGCUAACUACGUGCCAGCCGCGGC